rnacentral:rRNA from 1 species
CAGCUUGCUGGAGUACUCGAGUGGCGAACGGGUGAGUAACACGUGGGUAAUCUGCCCUGCACUCUGGGAUAAGCCUGGGAAACUGGGUCUAAUACUGGAUAUGACCUUUCUCCUUAUGGGGUUUGGUGGAAAGUUUUUCGGUGUAGGAUGAGCCCGCGGCCUAUCAGCUUGUUGGUGGGGUGAUGGCCUACCAAGGCGACGACGGGUAGCCGGCCUGAGAGGGUGAUCGGCCACAUUGGGACUGAGAUACGGCCCAGACUCCUACGGGAGGCAGCAGUGGGGAAUAUUGCACAAUGGGCGGAAGCCUGAUGCAGCGACGCCGCGUGAGGGAUGACGGCCUUCGGGUUGUAAACCUCUUUCAGCAGGGACGAAGCGUAAGUGACGGUACCUGCAGAAGAAGCACCGGCUAACUAC